rnacentral:rRNA from 1 species
GACAGAGGUGCCGAGCGUUAGGCGGAAUCACUGGGCUUAAAGCGUGUGUAGGCGGGCUUCUAAGUACCUUGUGAAAUCCCACGGCUCAACCGUGGAACUGCUUGGUAUACUGGUUGUCUUGAGCCACUUAGGGGCAGUCGGAACAGACGGUGGAGCGGUGAAAUGCGUAGAUAUCGUAAGGAAGACCAGUGGCGAAGGCGGGUCUCUGGACAGUUCCUGACGCUGAGGCACGAAGGCCAGGGGAGCAAACGGG